GAUGAACGCUGGCGGCGUGCCUAAUACAUGCAAGUCGAGCGAACAGACGAGGAGCUUGCUCCUCUGACGUUAGCGGCGGACGGGUGAGUAACACGUGGAUAACCUACCUAUAAGACUGGGAUAACUUCGGGACACCGGAGCUAAUACCGGAUAACAUGUUGAACCGCAUGGUUCAACAGUGAAAGACGGUUUUGCUGUAACUUAUAGAUGGAUCCGCGCCGCAUUAGCUGGUUGGUAAGGUAACGGCUUACCAAGGCAACGAGGCGUAGCCGACCUGACAGGGUGAUCGGCCACACUGGAACUGAGACACGGUCCAGACUCCUACGGGAGGCAGCAGUAGGGAAUCUUCCGCAAUGGGCGAAAGCCUGACGGAGCAACGCCGCGUGAGUGAAGAAGGUCUUCGGAUCGUAAAACUCUGUUAUUAGUGAAGAACAAAUGUGUAAGUAGCUAUGCACGUCUUGACGGUACCUAAUCAGAAAGCCACGGCUAACUACGUG
rnacentral:rRNA from 1 species